UUUAUAAACCGAUAUAAAACCGCUGUUUCUUGUGCUCUGUAAAUCUAGUGUUAAUAAGCUCGAGACAGCGGAACGCGACGAAAAAGCAACGUCCGCGGGUAAAGAGAUCGACGACCGGAAGUCUCGUAGCUCCGCCAUUUUAUAUUCCGCAUGGCGGAGCGCGGACGCCGAGGGCACUGAAAAACCGAAUCACUGUGCGUUCAUGCAUCAUCGCGUCAACGCGAACGUUUCACGGCACGAGAAAAUGUUUAAAGCGAAACGAAAUGACAGAAUAGUGGUCUUUAACAGAAAUUCCGGCCACAAUAGAAAGGACCUGGAGCAGAAUAGAGGAGCAAGGAGAAAGGGAAGCCGAUCUAGCGUGCUAAUGAAAAGAGAAACUCGUGAUCGUGGUAUAUUAAUAUGCACGUUUGUUCGCACGUAAAUUGAGUUACAAUUGUUGUUAGAACACUGUAAACGUUCCGUCCAACACGAUACCCUAAGACCGCAACAUUUAUACAAACUAAUCUUACAAAAGUCAAGCGAUUUUAUCGAGUUCGAACGGGAAGAAAAAUUCAUUCUAGGCUGAUUCGAAUAAUGCAGAAAGAAUGCAGCAGAUAGAAGAGAUCGCAGCUCAGCAUGCAAUUGAUUACAAAAGACGUUUCCUGCAAGAAUGUGUAUCUGUUUAUCGAGAUUAGUAAGGGUGCCAAGCAACACAGUCGAACAGAUCUACGAUCUACCGUGAAUCGCGAGGGGAUCCGGAAAGGAGCCGCGCAUCGAUCACUCGAAGAAGCAGCCGAUCCGCGAGAUAAACGAAUCUGCGCAGCGAAACUAUUAAUACCGCAGCGAAUAACCAGAGCUAACAAGUGAGAACAGUAGCACCUGGCGUCGUAAAUAACCAUCACCGGGGGCUAAUUGAAUCCUGGAACCACCCGGGCCGGCGAUCCUGAAGGGAUCCUGAAGAGGCAGAGGCCACGGAGGAACGGAUCAAUUACGAAGGACGAAGAAGACGGAUAAUAAUAAUAAAUAAUAAAUAAUAAUAAUAAUAA